CACGUAGGGCGCAAGCGUUGUCCGGAAUUAUUGGGCGUAAAGAGCUCGUAGGCGGUCUGUUACGUCUGCUGUGAAAACCCAGGGCUUAACCCUGGGCUUGCAGUGGAUACGGGCAGACUAGAGGCAGGUAGGGGAGAAUGGAAUUCCUGGUGUAGCGGUGGAAUGCGCAGAUAUCAGGAGGAACACCGGUGGCGAAGGCGGGUCUCUGGGCAGUAACUGACGCUGAGGAGCGAAAGCGUGGGGAGCGAACAGG
rnacentral:rRNA from 1 species